rnacentral:rRNA from 1 species
UACGUAGGUGGCAAGCGUUGUCCGGAUUUACUGGGCGUAAAGAGCGCGCAGGCGGUUGGAUAAGUCGAAUGUGAAAGCCCCCGGCUCAACUGGGGAGGGUCAUUCGAUACUGUCCGACUCGAAGGCAGGAGAGGGAAGCGGAAUUCCCGGUGUAGUGGUGAAAUGCGUAGAUAUCGGGAGGAACACCAGUGGCGAAGACGGCUUUCUGGCCUGUUCUUGACGCUGAGGCGCGAAAGCCAGGGGAGCAAACGGG